CUGGAUGUAGCUCAGCAGGAGAGUACGCGGUUCGGAUCCGCGGGGCCGUUGGUGCGAAUCCAACCAUUCAGA
rnacentral:tRNA from 1 species